rnacentral:rRNA from 1 species
AACGAACGCUGGCGGCAUGCCUAACACAUGCCAGUCGAACGAGACCUUCGGGUCUAGUGGCGCACGGGUGCGUAACGCGUGGGAACCUGCCCUUAGGUUCGGAAUAACUCCCCGAAAGGGGUGCUAAUACCGGAUAAUGUCUUCGGACCAAAGAUUUAUCGCCUUUGGAUGGGCCCGCGUUGGAUUAGCUAGUUGGUAGGGUAAAAGCCUACCAAGGCGACGAUCCAUAGCUGGUCUGAGAGGAUGAUCAGCCACACUGGGACUGAGACACGGCCCAGACUCCUACGGGAGGCAGCAGUGGGGAAUAUUGGAUAAUGGGCGAAAGCCUGAUCCAGCAAUGCCGCGUGAGUGAUGAAGGCCUUAGGGUUGUAAAGCUCUUUUACCCGGGAUGAUAAUGACAGUACCGGGAGAAUAAGCUCCGGCUAACUUCGUG